CAAACCUAAAACAAUGAAAGCCCUGCCUCUCUCCCAUCUCUACGGUUCCUAGACCGCGCCAGUGAGAAUCAGAUUUGACUGUAAGCA
rnacentral:sRNA from 1 species